UGGUGGCUGAUCUCUGAAGAAAAGGGAGUGUAGCACAAAAGAUGAGAGUUUUGAGUCUUGUGUACCUGUUGACAGCCCUUCCUGGUAUUCUGUCCCAGGUGAAGCUUCAGGAGUCAGGACCUGCCCUGGUGAAUCCCUCUCAGUCACUGUCUCUCACCUGCUCUGUCACUGGCUACUCCAUCUCCAGUGGUUAUGGCUGGAACUGGAUCCGACAGUUCCCAGGAAAUAAAAUGGAGUGGAUGGGAUACAUAAGCUUCAGUGGUAGCAUUAGCUACAACCCAUCUCUCAAAAGUCGAAUCUCCAUCACUAGAGACACAGCCAAGAACCAGUUCUUCCUGCAGUUGAACUCUGUGACUACAGAAGACACAGCCACAUAUUACUGUGCAAGAGGCACAGUGUGGAGUCUUCAGUGUAAGUCCAGACAUAAACCUCCUUGUAGAGCAGCUGUGCUCCAACAGGGGGCAGACAGGAUACACCAAGCACAGGAAAUCUACUUUAGAUGA